UCCUGUAUUAAAUUUGUAGCUACAAGGUUUCCGUAGGUGAACCUGCGGAAGGAUCAUUACAGUAUUCUUUUUGCCAGCGCUUAAUUGCGCGGCGAAAAAACCUUACACACAGUGUUUUUUGUUAUUACAAGAACUUUUGCUUUGGUCUGGACUAGAAAUAGUUUGGGCCAGAGGUUUACUGAACUAAACUUCAAUAUUUAUAUUGAAUUGUUAUUUAUUUAAUUGUCAAUUUGUUGAUUAAAUUCAAAAAAUCUUCAAAACUUUCAACAACGGAUCUCUUGGUUCUCGCAUCGAUGAAGAACGCAGCGAAAUGCGAUAAGUAAUAUGAAUUGCAGAUUUUCGUGAAUCAUCGAAUCUUUGAACGCACAUUGCGCCCUCUGGUAUUCCAGAGGGCAUGCCUGUUUGAGCGUCAUUUCUCUCUCAAACCUUCGGGUUUGGUAUUGAGUGAUACUCUUAGUUGAACUAGGCGUUUGCUUGAAAUGUAUUGGCAUGAGUGGUACUGGAUAGUGCUAUAUGACUUUCAAUGUAUUAGGUUUAUCCAACUCGUUGAAUAGUUUAAUGGUAUAUUUCUCGGUAUUCUAGGCUCGGCCUUACAAUAUAACAAACAAGUUGACCUCAAAUCAGCAAAUUAUCUCAUGC
rnacentral:rRNA from 1 species